rnacentral:tRNA from 1 species
CACCAAGCAGCUACAAUAGCCUUAGUCUUUUAAACUAAUAAUAAUAUUAAUAUAAUAUUCUUGGUAC